CAUCCCAGUUCGGAUCGCAGGCUGCAACCCGCCUGCGUGAAGUUGGAAUCGCUAGUAAUCGCGGAUCAGCAUGCCGCGGUGAAUACGUUCCCGGGCCUUGUACACACCGCCCGUCACACCAUGAGAGUCGGGAACACCCGAAGUCCGUAGCCUAACCGCAAGGGGGGCGCGGCCGAAGGUGGGUUCGAUAAUUGGGGUGAAGUCGUAACAAGGUAUC
rnacentral:rRNA from 1 species